AGUCAGUUGGAGUCUGCUGGUCAUGCUGUGAGGAGAAAGGGACAGGAAGCAGCGAGCUGGAAAUGAAGAGAGAAAAAAGACAGAAAGGUCUAGAGCUGUGUGGAGCAACUCAUGGAACUGCAACAUAGUAAAGACACCUGGAAGCAGGUGAGCCCCCAACUAGUAAUAAUGGGACAUAACUUAUCUAAGGAGAAUUGUGACCACCUCGACAGUGACAUAUGGUGACACUGGACAUGAUUUAUAAUUGAGGUGCAGAGGAGAUGGAGCCCGGUGAAGCUGCCAGUCUGGACUUGAUUUUGACACCUGGAGUACAGGUGAGCUGCUGGGAACAUUACAAUGGGGGCUCAAGUAUCAGGAAAAGAUUAUUCAGCUAUGAAGCAUAAUAGAAGAGCAGAGCAAUGAUUAGUUAUAGAUACUGGAAAAGGAAAAAUGCAAAGAAGAUUGAAACACUCAUCAAACAACUAAUACAUGGCAAUGACUCUGUACAUUCUAAUAGAGAGCACGUCGUUCUAAAGAUUUAAAAUACUGUGUAUGAAUAUCUGUGUGGUAACAUGCAUUUCUAGGACACGUUCUAUAUUGAUGACAAACUGCAAUCCAGGCUGACUAUGGUGUGUCAAGCUCUCCGAAGGACUGGCAUAGAGAUUGGCACUCUGAACUGUUAAUGGGGACAUGGGACUCAUGUUGCUGUUGAUUAUUUGUGUGGACUUAAUCAGCAAAGACCAACAGAAGAUGCUAGAAAGGCAGCUGGAGUUCUAGCAGUUUUUCAGAAUGUCUAAGCAAGGUAAAUUGAACCAGGAGAUUGCCAUCUCUGAAACCAACCUGGACAAUUGUGUUCUUAAGAAACCUGAAGGCUCAGAAGCAGAGGAAGAGAAGCUCAGUGAUUCCAAGACAGAGCUGCAGGUGUUAUUGCCAACAAAAAGUUGUUAUGCAAAGCCUAAGAAGAAACGAGGUGCAAAUCAGCAGAAAAAGUGAUCCAAGUCAAGAGCAUAGGGAAAACUAAGUAUUUUCCACUGCUUCCACGUGAUUUACUCAGUACAAUGUGCUUAUUUGCUAGUAAAACAUAUGUGUUGCAUUUAAACACUUAUAUAACUUUUAGUUCUCGGAGAAAUUGAAUACAUCAUAAUGUGAAUUUACCUAAGCAUGUUCUUCUAGAAAUGCUCAACUUUAUAAUUAAAAAAGAAAGGGGGUAAUUGUGGGAGAACAGACAGAGAUAGUACUGAAGGCACUCUUGCCCCUGAUGUAUUGCAGCAGUGUUAAUUACCAAAGAGCGGGAACAGCCUUGCCCUCACAGCUAUGGGUGAUAAAAGAGUGAGUUAGUUGGUGGUGUGGUCAGUCAGUUGGAGUCUGCUGGCCAUGCUGUGAGGAGAAAGGGACAGGAAGCAGCGAGCUGGAAAUGCAGAGAGAAGGAGAGAAAGAGCCAGAGCUGUGUGGAGUGACCCAUGGAACUGCAACAUAGCAAAGGUAUGGAAGACUUUUUAAAUAACAUGGGACUGACUGCAAUGUAGAGAAGGUAUUUUAGGUAACAAGGUACUGAUGCUUGAGGCCCCCUGAAGUUUUUAAAGAAGCACUCUUGAGUGCUGUGGCCACCUCAACGAAGACAACACAGAUGUUAGCACACCUAACGUCCAUCAACAGCCAUGCAACCCGGUAUGCCUAGAACAUAAGAAGGCUCAAACAACAUCAACUGUGUCUUUCUGUCUUGGCAGCUUCCCACAUGUACUCAAGCUUCCUGUGAGACUACCCAUCACCACUUGUCACACUGCCACUUCACUGAGCACAAGAUUCAUCAAGACAUUCAUCUAACAGUAGGGCCUAUAGAGCUGCUGUGAGAAAACAUAAGACUUUAUGCUAAAUUAUGUAAAGAGUCAAUGGCAAAGACAGCAAAAAUGUCCUCCCUAAAGGAACAUAGCUAUGUUUAGGUGAUUCAACAUUGAUAUAAACAAUCUAUGAGUUCAUUUCAGCAUAACAAUUUUGAUCUCUUUGGACAGAUUAUGUAAGACUGUCCAAACCACAGACUUCACCCCAAUGAAAGUCUCUUUCACAUCAGUACAUUUAGAAAGCUCCAAAAAAUAAUUGUGGACCAACCAGCUGAAAUACAAGUAAGUCUUUUCCACCUAUGAAAUCCUGUGACCCACAGUACAAGUGAUACAACUUGGAUCAGGACAAACACAGCCCACUGCUGGACCCAUAUCCAAGGAACCCUCAGGACACAGGGGAAAAAACAGUGUCAGCUGAUACCCACGAUGACUGAAAGCAUGGCACUUCAAGCCCAACCUAAUCAACAUGGCAUUAGAAAUGAACACUGGCAUAAGAAGCUGCAUUCACAUAGCACAGCCCAGACAUUUUUCAGUCUCAUUUCACUAAGAGCAGGCAGAGGAAAAGACAACACGGACCAUUAGAUUAAUUACUUUUCAUGGACACACACAUAGAUGGACAUCCAUCAGACAAUGUUUACUGACCUGUGAGCUCUUGGAAAAACCAGAGCAUAUGAAGGACUUAGCAAGGGUUUGUGCCUGAUUUUUGAAAAACAUGGAAGUGUAAUGGAAGGGUAAGAGCAACGAGCUACCCCACGUUAUCUACAAUGCAAGCGUAUGUAGAGUACUGCCUGCCCUUUUCCAGUACAUUCAAGAGACUGAAAACAUUACAAAUUAAAGAUCCCAUUCAAUAAAAACAUGAUCAAUGUGAAUCAACAUAAUUUCAAAAUCAAAAUGUUUAUGCCAGGAAUCAUUAUUAUAUUUGACUUAUACAAGGAAGAAACUUAGGGUGCACCAGAAAUAAUUUUUCAGAAAUAUUUCAGUUUACGGGAAAUAAAAGAUUUGAGAUUUUAUUGGAAUGAAAAUCCUGAACAGACUCAAGAAAGCACAAAAUAUAACUAAGAAAAAAACAAAAGGGAUGCUCUAUAGCUUAUUGUCCAUAGGCACAAGCCAUUAGGACAAGCAGGCAAAAGAGAAAAGAACAAUUCAGACAAAAUUAGCUUGACACACUGAAUAUUAAAAA